UACGUAGGGUGCAAGCGUUGUCCGGAAUUAUUGGGCGUAAAGAGCUCGUAGGCGGUUUGUUGCGUCGGCUGUGAAAUCCCGAGGCUCAACCUCGGGUCUGCAGUCGAUACGAGCAAACUAGAGUGUUGCAGGGGAGACUGGAAUUCCUGGUGUAGCGGUGGAAUGCGCAGAUAUCAGGAAGAACACCCGUGGCGAAGGCGGCUCUCUGGAACGCAACUGACGCUGAGACGCGAAAGCGUGGGGAGCAAACAGG
rnacentral:rRNA from 1 species